ACUUCCCCAAACAGGAAAAAUAAAAACCAGAGAGAACUGUGGAAGAGCUGUUCAUGGUCGGCCGGAGGAGAGAGAAGUUACUGGCCUUUCUUCUUCUUCUUCGACACAGGCCCUAGAGAGAGAAACAACCAGCACCGAUCCAGUUCCGAUCACGCGCCGCCGCAUCGCCGGAAAAUGGAGUGGCUGAGCGCGGCGGCGUCGGAGCCGUACUACCUCUUCCACCUCCUCGCCUUCUUCUCCUACCUCCCGAUCCGCUGCUCCGCCGCGCUCGUCCUCUCUCCCGCCGCCGCCCACCUCCUCCUCCGCCGAGAAAUUCAGGCGGUCCUGGCGUUUCUGGCAUUGGCUGCUGUCAAGCUUGUGCGUGAAGAAACAUGGGAGGCGUUCAUAGCUGAUUCUUUGUUUUUCUCAAAGGUUUUUCUUAUUGUUGUAACAUUAGUGAUUGAUUACCAGCUGGCUCUCUGGUACAUUCUGAUAUUCCUGGUGAUAUAUACAUUAACCCAGCAACCUGUGUCUCAAUUCUUAGGUGCGGCGAGCAAAUUAACUCCACUGCAAUUAGAAACGGUACUGAACGAUGGGAGCACAUCAAGAUUCUGGCUGGUAGAGUUUCGCUCUUCGUCUUCCACUUCCUGCAUUCGAGCAAGCCGAUGCUUUGCUGAGCUCUCAAUAACAUACUCAAACAAAAAUUUGUCCUUUGCGAUAGUGGAUCUUGGGCUUUUUCCUAUUGUCGCAGAAAAAUUUGGAAUAUCUCUUGGGAACAUGGCCCAGCUUCCCACAUACAUAUUAUUUGAAAAUGCAACUGAAAUAGCACGCUUUCCAGAUAUUGAUCUUGGAGUCAAAAUUUCCUAUCCUCCCAUUACUAAGGGACUUCUUUCCCGGCAUUUUGAGCUUGAUCGUCUCCUUCUUGAAUAUGUGAAUGGCAAAUAGCUACUACAUCCACUUCACCACAGGCAGCCCCUGUAUUGCCUUGAAUUUGGUUAUUGUAACUGGAGUUGGUCAUCAUGUGAACCUUUGCUUGCAAAAGGGUAAUCAAAGGCAUCCAUCCUUUGGCAAGUGUUUUGGAUGAGCAUGUGGGCUAAAUUAGCCAUUGCCAAUGGUGAAAAGCUUCUAUAUUGCGUGGCCUUUGUUGCCCAGCAUAGGCAUAAAUGGUUCGGAGAUCCAUCCCUUUCAUUCACUGCAUAGGUCCGGAGACAUUGGAAGGAAAAAAGAAGUGCUGCCGUUAAUUUCUAAGCAUGCUGUUUUGCACUACCAAUUGCCGGUAGGUCUUUGACAGUCUCGAACCUGGGAAGAAAGUGGUGGCGCAAAAAGAACUGAAAACCUGGUUAGAAAGUGACGGCAUGACGCCAACUAAGAAAAUGAACUGUUACUUUACCAAAAUUUUGCCACAUGAAUAGGGAUUAACCUGGCAGAUAUGUGAGAUGGCGACAUCUAAAAAUCGAUAGCAAAUGUUUCUUCUUUUGCCCCCUCUUGCUCUUCUUCUUCUUCUAGAUUUUUUUUUUUUUAAUGCUCUGGAUGUUUCUGCAUUUCGGGGAUAUGUCGAGUAAAGUCUAAAUGCCAUGUUUUAUCUUA